UACGUAGGGGGCAAGCGUUGUCCGGAUUUAUUGGGCGUAAAGAGCGUGUAGGCGGCUUGGUAGGUCCGCUGUGAAAACUCGAGGCUCAACCUCGAGAUGUCGGCGGAAACCACUUGGCUAGAGUCCGGAAGAGGAGAGUGGAAUUCCUGGUGUAGCGGUGAAAUGCGCAGAUAUCAGGAAGAACACCUAUGGCGAAGGCAGCUCUCUGGGACGGUACUGACGCUGAGACGCGAAAGCGUGGGGAGCGAGCAGG
rnacentral:rRNA from 1 species